rnacentral:rRNA from 1 species
AGGAGGAGGCAAUCCCUAAACCUUACCUCAUUUAUAAUUGAGGGCUGAAACUCCCCCUCAUGAAUAUGGAAUCCCUAUUAAUCGCGUGUCACCAUCGCGCGGUGAAUACUUCCCUCCUCCCUUGCAAAA